rnacentral:rRNA from 1 species
UCCUACGGGGCGCAGCAGUAAGGAAUAUUGGUCAAUGGGCGCGAGCCUGAACCAGCCAAGUCGCGUGAGGGAAGACGGUCCUAUGGAUUGUAAACCUCUUUUGUCGGGGAGCAAAAGACGCCACGUGUGGCGUUCCGAGAGUACCCGAAGAAAAAGCAUCGGCUAACUCCGUGCCAGCAGCCGCGGUAAUACGGAGGAUGCGAGCGUUAUCCGGAUUUAUUGGGUUUAAAGGGUGCGCAGGCGGAAGAUCAAGUCAGCGGUAAAAUUGAGAGGCUCAACCUCUUCAAGCCGUUGAAACUGGUUUU